rnacentral:rRNA from 1 species
UACGUAGGGGGCAAGCGUUGUCCGGAAUUAUUGGGCGUAAAGAGCGUGUAGGCGGUCCGGUAAGUCAGCUGUGAAAGUCAAGGGCUCAACCCUUGAAUGCCGGUUGAUACUGUCGGGCUAGAGUCCGGAAGAGGCGAGUGGAAUUCCCGGUGUAGCGGUGAAAUGCGCAGAUAUCGGGAGGAACACCAAUGGCGAAGGCAGCUCACUGGGACGGUACUGACGCUGAGACGCGAAAGCGUGGGGAGCAAACAGG